rnacentral:rRNA from 1 species
UGGGGAAUAUUGCACAAUGGGCGCAAGCCUGAUGCAGCCAUGCCGCGUGUGUGAAGAAGGCCUUCGGGUUGUAAAGCACUUUCAGCGGGGAGGAAGGCGAUAAGGUUAAUAACCUUGUCGAUUGACGUUACCCGCAGAAGAAGCACCGGCUAACUCCGUGCCAGCAGCCGCGGUAAUACGGAGGGUGCAAGCGUUAAUCGGAAUUACUGGGCGUAAAGCGCACGCAGGCGGUUUGUUAAGUCGGAUGUGAAAUCCCCGGGCUCAACCUGGGAACUGCAUUCGAAACUGGCAGGCUAGAGUCUUGUAGAGGGGGGUAGAAUUCCAGGUGUAGCGGUGAAAUGCGUAGAGAUCUGGAGGAAUACCGGUGGCGAAGGCGGGCGCCUGGACAAAGACUGACGCUCAGGUGCGAAAGCGUGGGGAGCAAACAGG